GUGCCAGCAGCUGCGGUUAAACAAAAAAUACUAAUAAAUUAUAUUUAAUAAUAAUAAAAGUGUUUAUUAAUUAAAUAGAAAAAAAUAUUAAGUGAAAUUUUAUUUCUUUUUGUAAUUUUUAGAUUAAUUGAUUUUAAUAAAAUUUGAUUAUAAACUAGGAUUAGAUACCCUAUUAUUCAAUUUGUAAUUAAAAGUAUUUGAGUAGUAGUAGUUAAAGUCUUGAAACUUAAAAAAUUUGGCGGUAUUUUAGUCUAUUCAGAGGAACCUGUAGUGUAAUUGAUAAUCCACGUUGGACCUUAUUUAGUUUUGUUUUACAGUUUGUAUACCGCCGUUAUUAAAAAAUUUUAUAAGAAUAAUAAUUUUUAUGAUUUUUAAUUAAAAAAUAAAUCAGGUCAAGGUGCAGCUUAUAAUUAAAUAUUUUAUGGGUUACAAUAAAUUUAUUUAUUAUGAAUUAAAUUGUGAAAAAUAAUUUAUGAAAGUGGAUUUGAAAGUAAAUUUUUAUAGAUAAAAAAAUUGAUUUUAGCUCUAAAAUAUG
rnacentral:rRNA from 2 species